rnacentral:rRNA from 1 species
GACGAACGCUGGCGGCGUGCUUAACACAUGCAAGUCGAACGGAAAGGCCUGCUUUCCCUUGCUCUUUCCGUGUACUCGAGUGGCUAACGGGUGAGUAACACAUCAAUGUUCUGCCCUCAACUUGCGUAUAAGCCUGGGAAACUGUGUCUAAUUCUCUAUAGGACUGCAGGGUGCUGUCUGUGGUGGAAAACUUUUUUCUAGUUGUUGGUGAUGAGCUCGCGGCCUAUCAGCUUGGUGGUGCGGUAGUGUCCUACCAAGGCGGCGACGGGUAGCCGGCGUGUGAGCGUGGACAGUGACAUUGAGACUGAGUCAAGGCUCCGACUCGUACGGGCGGCAGGGGUGGGGACGAAUGGGGAGUGGGCGUGAGCCUGAUGCAGCGAGGCAGCGUGGGGGAUGACGGGAUUCGGGUUGUAAGCUCCUAUGGAAGACGAGGAGGCCAAGUGGUUGGAAGGGUGGUGACGGUAGUGGAAGAAGAAGCACCGGCUAACUACGUG